rnacentral:rRNA from 1 species
AUUGAACGCUGGCGGCAGGCUUAACACAUGCAAGUCGAGCGGAGAUGAGGUGCUUGCACCUUAUCUUAGCGGCGGACGGGUGAGUAAUGCUUAGGAAUCUGCCUAUUAGUGGGGGACAACAUUCCGAAAGGAAUGCUAAUACCGCAUACGUCCUACGGGAGAAAGCAGGGGAUCUUCGGACCUUGCGCUAAUAGAUGAGCCUAAGUCGGAUUAGCUAGUUGGUGGGGUAAAGGCCUACCAAGGCGACGAUCUGUAGCGGGUCUGAGAGGAUGAUCCGCCACACUGGGACUGAGACACGGCCCAGACUCCUACGGGAGGCAGCAGUGGGGAAUAUUGGACAAUGGGGGGAACCCUGAUCCAGCCAUGCCGCGUGUGUGAAGAAGGCCUUAUGGUUGUAAAGCACUUUAAGCGAGGAGGAGGCUACUGAGACUAAUACUCUUGGACAGUGGACGCUACUCGCAGAAUAAGCACCGGCUAACUCUGUGCCAGCCGCCGCGGUAAUAC